GUGCUCACUUUGGCUGCACAUAUAUUAAAAUUGGAACGCUACAGAGAAGAUUGGCAUGGCCCUUGCACAAGGAUGACAUGCACAUCCAUGAAGCAUUCCAUAUUUUA
ensembl:snRNA U6 U6 spliceosomal RNA